rnacentral:lncRNA from 1 species
GAUUCAAACUCUACCAAUCACGUAGUUUCACGUCCCAUGAGCAUGUCAUGUGUGUUAAUCAUGAAUGCGUGCACAUUCAUGCUAUCUUGCAUAUCAAAUAUAGUGAGCUAAUCAAGAUAAGACACUGGUGCAUCCGCCGUAUAACCUAGCCCAAUUAAUCUAGUGUCCAAUAUAUUCCCACAGAUAAAAGGCCCAUCUUACGAUAUAUGCUCUACAUACC